rnacentral:rRNA from 1 species
AGUAAUGUCUGCCCGGUGAAAAAUUUAACGGCCGCAGUACUUUGACUGUGCUAAGGUAGCAAAAUAAAUAGGCUUUUAAUUAAGGUCGAGUAUGAAUGGCAACAUGGGUGGCAGCUGUCUCAUUUUGUAAAAUUUUAAUUUAAUUAGUAGGUGAAAAUGCCUACCUAAAUACAUAAGACGAGAAGACCCUUAGAGUUUUUAAAACUUUAUCUAGUAAAUAUUUAUGAAUUUUUUGUUGGGGCGACACAGUAGUACUUUAACCUACUUAGAUAUAUAUAUUACGGGACUUUAUUGAAAACAUAUGAAUAUAACUACCUAAGGGAUAACAGCAUAAUUUUACUAUUAAGAUUGUGACCUCGAUGUUGGACUAGGGAAUAGGUGUAUUAGUCAUAUA